GUGUGACAGUAGGAAUCUGUAUUGGGACCAUUUUUUUUUUUUUUUACCGUAACAAGCAGACUAAAAGUUAAUGUGAGUGGAUACCGUGGAUACC